UUCUUUUGAGACACGAAAAGGAAGGUUCGGCAGUAGAAUUAGUCGCAGCCAUACUUAGUAUGUAACUAAGGUAACCGUAUAUACAAACCAAAACAACAAACUUUACUCUACGAUUUCAUAACAACUUAUGAUGUGGCACAGAAUCGACUUCAUUUAAUUCUUAUUUAAUUGCACUGAACCUCCGAUCGUCGUACGAGUACCUGAUUCAGAGACAUUACAAUUUACUUAUAAUAAAAAAAUGGGAAGAUUGCUUAAAAAAGAUAUAGGAAAGCUUUUGAAUAGCGUUGCCACAAUAUUUUUUGAUUGUGAUGGUGUUCUAUGGAAUAGUCAUGGGAUAAUUCAAGGAGCAGUAGAAACAAUUCAAAAACUUAAAGAAAUGAAUAAGAAUUUGUUAUUCAUUACUAACAACAGCUCAUAUUCAAGAAAAGUAAUAUUGAACAAGUUUCAACAAUAUGGGUUCAAUGUGAAACUUGAGGAGAUAUUGUCAUCUGCAUAUAUUGCUGCUGUCUACGCAAAAGAUAUAGUUCAAGCAGAAAAAGUUUUUGUUAUUGGAUCAACAGGAAUGAAGGAAGAGUUAGAAGAUGUUGGAAUGAAAUAUGUUUCCUUUGAAAAUGAGGAAAACCAGGUGUAUAUAGCUAAGAAUUUUAUGGAAAGCUUUACAAAAGAAAAUGGUAUUGGUGCUGUGAUUGUUGCAUAUGAUCCAAAGUUUAGCUUGCAUCAUAUUGCUGCUGCCAUGCAGUAUUUAAGUGAUCCUUGCAUUCCAUAUAUUGCUACAAAUACUGAUAAUACUUUUCCUAUUGGUAAUGGAAAGAUUGGACCAGGUACUGGCUGUAUAGUCAAUGCUGUUUCUACAGCAACAGAGCGCCAACCUAUUAUUGUCGGAAAGCCUAACAGAUUGAUGUUUGACACAGCUUUGAAAAGAUAUAGUAUAAAUUCAAAAACAUCACUCAUGAUUGGAGAUAGGUUAAAUACAGAUAUUGUUUUUGGAAAUGAUUGUGGCAUGCAAACAUUAUGUGUUCUUACUGGGGUUACUAGCGAAAAAGAAAUCAUUGAGUUAUCAUCAAAUAGUUCUUCACUAAAUUUGUUACCGACUUGCUACACUGAUAAGUUAUCAGAUCUAUUAGAGAUGGAAGACUAAAAUUAUGAUAAUUUUAAAUGAAGAGUUAAGACACCAAUGCUGGUUACAGUUUACACAUGUGUAUAAAUACACAACUGAAUAUGAACUUUAUAAAUAAGAAAGUACAUAGACUUUUCUUAAAAUGAAAGAUAUCACAAUUGAAGUUCAAAUAAAACAGUUGCGUGAUAUACUUCAGAAUAUCAAAAACAUAAUUCCAGAUGAAAAGAAGCAGUUCGGAG